UACGUAGGGUGCAAGCGUUGUCCAGAAUUAUUGGGCGUAAAGAGCUCGUAGGCGGUGUGUCACGUCGGCCGUGAAAACCUGCAGCUUAACUGUGGGCGUGCGGUCGAUACGGGCAUCACUGGAGUUCGGCAGGGGAGACUGGAAUUCCUGGUGUAGCGGUGAAAUGCGCAGAUAUCAGGAGGAACACCGGUGGCGAAGGCGCACAUCUGGCCCGAUACUGACGCUGAGGCGCGAAAGCUAGGGGAGCAAACGGG
rnacentral:rRNA from 1 species